CUGGGUCUUUAUUACCCCUUUAAGGAGUUCUGCUACUUCUCGAACGUCCACGUGGAGAAGUAAAAGCGAGUGUAAAAUGACGCUUAUCAUGGGCUCCUAAAAUGUCAAAAUGCCAAUGCAUGCUAGUGCAAAUAAAUAUACGUAAAACCAUAAAACAUGUAGCACGUUAACAACAUGCUGAGAACACGAGGACCAGGAGCAUGGUGUUCUUGAACGGCAGGUGACCUGAAUGCUGUUAAAAGCUGCAACAGCAGCAUGAACUGAAUCCAGUGAAUCUUGGUAUGCCUCUAAAAAAUGGUAUCAAUUACAUAAAGUUGCUUGAAUUUAAGUCUCACCCUUAGCAUGAUAAUUUCUCAAAGAAAUGAUGCCUGUCUUAGACAGUGAUGCCUUUAAGUGUUGCCUGUUCAUCGUUGAUCAGAUGAAUGCGGUGUCAUCUAAGGCAUACAGUAAUACAUAAGAUGGCUGCUGGAGGGUGUUUCCCUGAACCUUCCAGAAGGUCUAUGUUAUGGACAUGAUUGUGAUGCAGAUUUUGAUAAUACAUUGUUCAUGGUGAUAUAUUGCAAAUAAACAAUCCAUAAUGCUUUGCAUCCAUAAAUGCAAAGUUAAAUCUUAGUACCACACACUUUGUUUUUAUUAAUUGGUUUUCUCUGCUCUUUAACAGAUGCUGUACUCCGUGUAUUUGUGGUGAUCUUCAAAUUUUUCAUAUUUUGUAAAUAAAAUCUAUUGCUUUA